GCACCACCUAAUACCACCACAGUCUCUCCCAUUAAGGAUGUUUUAAAGAUUUUAGACUUGUAUUUCUCUAUUCUCUCUUUAACGAAUUUCUCUGGUUUUCCUUCCUUGUUUGCGUUGAGGAAGUCUAGUGUUUCGCCAAGAUAUGGCCAUCCACAACUUCCAGGAGGAUAAUUCAAUCUCUUUCUUCUCAUCACUAUGACAAUUAUGAUGAAUAAAGC
rnacentral:misc_RNA from 1 species